GACGAACGCUGGCGGCGUGCUUAACACAUGCAAGUCGAACGGAAAGGCCCUGCUUUUGUGGGGUGCUCGAGUGGCGAACGGGUGAGUAACACGUGAGUAACCUGCCCUUGACUUUGGGAUAACUUCAGGAAACUGGGGCUAAUACCGGAUAGGAGCUCCUGCUGCAUGGUGGGGGUUGGAAAGUUUCGGCGGUUGGGGAUGGACUCGCGGCUUAUCAGCUUGUUGGUGGGGUAGUGGCUUACCAAGGCUUUGACGGGUAGCCGGCCUGAGAGGGUGACCGGCAGAGGUGGGCCUGCGAUACGGCCCAGACGCGGACGGGGGGCAGAGGGGGGGAAUAAUGCACGAGGGGGGGAGGCGGGAUGCAGGGACGCCGGGUGCGGGCUGCGGGGCUGCGGGGUUAAGACCGCUUGCGGCGGGGAGGGAGGGUGAGGGAGGGUAGUGGGAAACGAAGCCCCGUCAACCUACGUGACGGCAGCGGGGGUAAUGAUGGAAGCGCACACGUCUGACC
rnacentral:rRNA from 1 species